GCGCGCUGGGGAGACGGCCCCUGCGGGAAGACUCCGAGGCAAUCUGCUGCAGCUCCUUCUGGCUGAAUCUGGUUCAGGAAAUAAAACCAGCCCUUCUGUACAGGCAGGUGAGUGGAACCACAGGUGCUUCCUGUCCUGGUCACAAAGUCAAAGUGGCUGGGCCAAGUGUCCUGAGAAGUGUCACUUCCUGGGAUCCCAUCAGCCUGGCCAUAGCAGAACGCCCAUCCCCGAGGCUCAACUCAACACAUGCAGCCACUGUAGAAAAGUCUGGAAAGUAGUUCUUCAAGCAACUAGACACGGUGAGCAUAAAACCCAGCCAUAACACUCCUAGGCAUCUGUCCCAGAGGAAUGAAAACAUCCCUCCCCUGAAAACUCAUCCUUACGCAGCAGCGUGACUCAAGACGGCCAAAGGCAGAAACACCCCAAAUGUCCAUCAGUGGACAAACGGGCAGACGCAAUGCACUGUCUGUACCAUGGGAUGUCACUCAGCCAUAAGAAGGAAAGAAUCCAUGGUGUGGAUGAGCCCUGGAACCACGGUGAUGCGUGGAAACAGCCAGACGCAAAAGGCCACGUGCCGCGUGAUCCCGUAACACAUGGCCAGAACAGACAUGGCCCGGAACCUGAAGCUGGGAGGAUGCGUGCAGGUGGCGGGGAGACAGAGGGGCGAUGGCUAAGGCAUACCCAAUUUCUUUUGGGCUGAAAAUGGUCUAAAGUUGACUGUGGUGAUGGCUGUACAACUCUGAAUAUGCUGAAAACUCGAAUUAUACACUUCAGUUGGGCGAACUGUACUCUGUGAAUUACCUCUCGAUGAUUCUCUCCUGGGCUCAAGUGCUUCUCCUGCCUUGGCCUCCUGAGUAGCUGGAACUACCAUUCAUGUGGGGAAAUAAAACAACUCAGUCUCAAAAAAAAAACUCAACUCAAAACUCAGUCUCAAAAAUAAAACAAAAAACAAAGUAAAAGAGACUACCAA
rnacentral:antisense_RNA from 1 species